UACGUAGGGUGCGAGCGUUGUCCGGAAUUAUUGGGCGUAAAGAGCUCGUAGGCGGUGUGUCACGUCGUUCGUGAAAACCUGCAGCUUAACUGUGGGCGUGCGGUCGAUACGGGCAUCACUGGAGUUCGGCAGGGGAGACUGGAAUUCCUGGUGUAGCGGUGAAAUGCGCAGAUAUCAGGAGGAACACCGGUGGCGAAGGCGGAUCUCUGGGCCUUACCUGACGCUCAGGUGCGAAAGCUAGGGGAGCGAACAGG
rnacentral:rRNA from 1 species